AUUGAACGCUGGCGGCAGGCCUAACACAUGCAAGUCGAACGAGUGGCGGACGGGUGAGUAAUGUCUGGGAAACUGCCUGAUGGAGGGGGAUAACUACUGGAAACGGUAGCUAAUACCGCAUACCCUUGGAUGUGUCCAGAUGGGAUUAGCUAGUAGGUGGGGUAACGGCUCACAUAGGCGACGAUCCCUAGCUGGUCUGAGAGGAUGACCGGCAAAGCUGGAACUGCGACACGGUCCAGACUCCUACGGGAGGCAGCAGUGGGAAAUAUGGGACAAUGGGGGCAAGCCUGAUGCAGCCAUGCCGCGUGGAUGAAGAAGGCUUUCGGGUUGUAAAGUACUUUCAGCGGGGAGGCGUUACCCGCAGAAAAAGCACCGGCUAACUCCGUGCCAGCAGCCGCGGUAAUUC
rnacentral:rRNA from 1 species